rnacentral:rRNA from 1 species
GACGAACGCUGGCGGCGUGCUUAACACAUGCAAGUCGUGCGGGAAGGCCCUUUCGGGGGUACACGAGCGGCGAACGGGUGAGUAACACGUGAGCAACCUGCCCUUCACUUUGUGAUAACUGCCGGAAACGGUGGCUAAUACCGGCUAUGACUUCCCCACUCAUGUGGGGUGGUUGAAAGCCUUCGGGUGUGGGGGGAUGGGCUCGCGGACUAUCCGCUUGUUGGUGGGGUGAUGGACUACCAAGGCUUCGACGGGUAGCCGGCCUGAGAGGGUGACCGGCCACACUGGGACUGAGACACGGCCCAGACUCCUACGGGAGGCAGCAGUGGGGAAUAUUGGACCAUGGGCGAAAGCCUGAUCCAGCAACGCCGCGUGAGGGAUGACGGCCUUCGGGUUGUAAACCUCUUUCGCCGGAGACGAAGCGAGAGUGACGGUAGCAGGUAAAGAAGCACCGGCCAACUACGUG